UAGGGAAUCUUCCACAAUGGACGCAAGUCUGAUGGAGCAACGCCGCGUGAGUGAAGAAGGUUUUCGGAUCGUAAAGCUCUGUUGUUGGUGAAGAAGGAUAGAGGCAGUAACUGGUCUUUAUUUGACGGUAGUCAACCAGAAAGUCACGGCUAACUACGUGCCAGCAGCCGCGGUAAUACGUAGGUGGCAAGCGUUGUCCGGAUUUAUUGGGCGUAAAGCGAGCGCAGGCGGAAUGAUAAGUCUGAUGUGAAAGCCCACGGCUCAACCGUGGAACUGCAUCGGAAACUGUCAUUCUUGAGUGCAGAAGAGGAGAGUGGAAUUCCAUGUGUAGCGGUGGAAUGCGUAGAUAUAUGGAAGAACACCAGUGGCGAAGGCGGCUCUCUGGUCUGCAACUGACGCUGAGGCUCGAAAGAAUGGGUAACGAACAGG
rnacentral:rRNA from 1 species